AUGUAUGAUAGACCACCAACCAGAUUAAGAAUUAGCCAUGGCUCGUAAGGUUUUCAACGUUGUGGCAUCCAUCCUCAUAUUGGCGCUCCUCGUGUCUUGUGAUGUGGUUCAAAGCACAUGCCAUGAGUAUACCAGCAAGGUCACUUGCCGUGACUCUUCGACAUGUCAUACGUGGUGCAAGUACAACGGUGCUGAUGAUGGCCACUGCAAUAAAGGUUCAUGUGUGUGCCUGGAUUGCGGGUGGCGCGUGAUGGGUUCAACUUGAGUUGUUCCUUUGUAUCCAAAAAUGUAUUUGGUGACAAGUGGUCUUCGUGCUCCUUGAAUAAUUGUGUUACAAUAAAUCAA